rnacentral:lncRNA from 1 species
CGGGUCCAUGUGCGCAGUGAGUGGCGCUAUUCCUGGCCCAGUAGCACCCGAGCCCCGGGUUUGACCGAGUCCGCGCUGCGAUGGACCCCAACACCAUUAUCGAGGCCCUGCGGGGCACUAUGGACCCAGCCCUGCGUGAGGCCGCGGAGCGCCAGCUCAAUGAAAACAUUGAUUUGGGAGACAGAUCUCAGACAAGUCUUGAAUAUUGUUAAGAAUGAGGAAGUAACAUUUCUGAAAGGCUCUUGCUUUGGAGAAGAUAGAAGAACGAAUUAUUCUAUGAUGUCUCUCAUUCCAGUGAAGCUGUGUUUUGGUUCAUUUAGAACCAAAGAAUAAGAUCAUUGACAUUUGAAUGAAUCUCUUCACAAAGUGAAAUAAUCACUGACUCAAUGUAAAAUUUGUAAAUGUUAUUAAAGUGUUUAUAGUAUAGACAGUUUCGAAACAAAA